rnacentral:rRNA from 1 species
CAGCAGCCACGGUAAUACGUAGGUGGCAAGCGUUAUCCGGAAUUAUUGGGCGUAAAGCGCGCGUAGGCGGUUUUUUAAGUCUGAUGUGAAAGCCCACGGCUCAACCGUGGAGGGUCAUUGGAAACUGGAAAACUUGAGUGCAGAAGAGGAAAGUGGAAUUCCAUGUGUAGCGGUGAAAUGCGUAGAGAUGUGGAGGAACACCAGUGGCGAAGGCGACUCUCUGGUCUGUAACUGACGCUGAGGAGCGAAAGCGUGGGGAGCGAACAGGAUUAGAUACCCCCGUAGUCCCUGUCUCUUAUAC